CGGCGGGCCAGGCGCCCCCAACGGCGCUCAGCCUAUCUGUGAGGAUAGGAGUA
rfam:Hyphomonas sp. T16B2 contig14, whole genome shotgun sequence.